GAGCGCUCCGUUAGCCGUAGUGCGCUGUGGGGCACAGUUUGCUGCUGUAGUGCUGUCGCACGCUGUUGCGUCAUGUUGUUAUUUGCAUUUGCGUCGCUGCUCAGCUGCUUGCUGGCAGCUCCACCUGGCAAGCCUUGUGGCGAGAACGAGGUGCUUGCCUGUCUGCCCUGCUACGAGGAGAGCUGCUCGGUGCCGUAUUACUCCGAAAAUCGCUGCUUCUACAUCUGUAAUCUGGACUGCGGCUGCAAGCCUGGCUACGUGCGCCACGAUAAAACCAAUCAGUGUGUGUCAAUGUAUGAGUGCAAUCGACUGUUCAAUUCGCAUGCAAAAUAGAUUAACUCUAUUAAACCGUGAGGCUUGACCGAAAACUUCUCGCAAGUUGUUUUUUUCUUGGUUGAGGCUAAAAAAGAGUGUGGCAAACGUUUCUAGCCAUGCGCCCAGUUCAGUUACCAUUCUAUUUGCUGCUCAUUUUAAGCUUGCUCGCAGAGCAGCCAGAGGCGGCAGAUCAGGAGGACCAGGCAGAUCAGGGAGAUCGGGCCAAUCAGACAGAAAAGUCAGAGGAGACAAAGGAGGCACAUGAAGAAGACGUCGCUGCGGCGGCAGCGGAGAAAGAGCUGAAUAACGACCCCAAUCCUUUUGAUGAGGCGGCGGAGAUUCUCGAACUACGAAGAAAAAUUCUUUGCGAACGCGAAAUCACGGGCGAGAUAUAUUUGUGUUUCUAAAAAAAAAAAAAACAAGAAGGAAUUUGUUUUUUUUUUAUGUUGUCUCAAAAAAUAAGCAAUAAACAAAAUCGUGUGUACGUCUACAAUUUUUUGUAGAUUCUUCAAUUUA